rnacentral:lncRNA from 10 species
CCCUCCCCCAGCCUCGCUGCCGCCUUGCAGUUUGAUCUCAGACUGCUGUGCUAGCAAUUAGCAAGACUCCGUGGGCGUAGGACCCUCCGAGCCAGGUGCGGGUUAUAAUCUACUGGUGCGCCGUGUUUUAAGCCCGUGGAAAAGCACAGUAUUAGGGUGGGAGUGACCCGAUUUUCCAGGUGCCGUCGGUCACCCCUUUCUUUGACUAGGAAAGGGAACUCCCUGACCCCUUGCGCUUCCCGAGUGAGGCAAUGUCUCGCCCUGCUUUGGCUCGCGCAUGGUGCGCUGCACCCACUGUCCUGCGCCCACUGUCUGGCACUCCCUAGUGAGAUGAACGCGGUACCUCAGAUGGAAAUGCAGAAAUCACCUGUCUUCUGCGUCACUCAUGCUGGGAGCUGUAGACCCGAGCUGUUCCUGUUCGUCCAUCUUGGCUGUAAUCCCAGGUUCAUCAAAAUAAGAUAUGAUCAAGGUACAAAAGAGUUAAAGAAGCUAUUUAUUUUAAUGUUUCCUUGGAGAGCACACUUGUUAUUGACGGGCAUGUGACAGAGUUCUGGCCAACAGGAUUUCAGGAACAGAGAAGUUGCUUUGGGGAAGGAUUCUGCUUCCUAAUAAACGAAGGUGCUGGCAAAGAUAUUGACAUCUAGCUUCCUUGAACGUGGGAGAAUGUGACGUUUGGAGCUGCAUCAAUCAUCUUGUGACCUUAAAGAGACAAGCCUGAGGAUAAGAAGACAUGGAGGAGGGCAGAGCGAAGGCCAGGAGGAAGCCUGGAUCCUGACCAUACGGCUGAGCUACAGAUCAGUUUCUAAGGCCAGACUUCUGGCUAUGUUAGGGAUUGAUUGAGUUAUCACCCAAACCAGGAUCCUUUUCAGAAUGGAAGUGGGUACUAUCAGAAAUAGCACAAAUACAAACAUGGCACAGUGGGACAUGUGGUCAGCCCUAUGUGAGGUCUCGGAGUGUUAUUAUUGCUGUCACAAAUAUUCUACUACUUGCAACCCAAAUCAGUCCUAGCUUAUAUAUAUAUAAUAUAUAAAUUAUAUAUUUUAAUUAUCUAUUUAUAGCAUACAUAUGGCUAAAAUAUGUAUAAUAAAUAUGCAAUAAAAUGUAUAUAAUAACAUAAAUGCAUUUAUACAUGUAUAUGUAUGUGUGUGUAUAUGUGUGUGUGUAUAUGUGUAUAUA